GGCAACCCUGACGGAGCAACGCCGCGUGGGGGAGGAAGGUCUGUGGAUUGUAAACCCCUUUUCUCUGUGAAGAAGAUCUGACGGUAGCAGAGGAAUCAGCAUCGGCUAACUCCGUGCCAGCAGCCGCGGUAAGACGGAGGAUGCAAGCGUUAUCCGGAAUUAUUGGGCGUAAAGCGUCCGUAGGCGGUUGUAAAAGUCUGUUGUUAAAGCUCACAGCUCAACUGUGAAUCGGCAAUGGAAACUAUAUGACUAGAGAGUGGUAGGGGUAGAGGGAAUUCCUAGUGUAGCGGUGAAAUGCGUAGAUAUUGGGAAGAACACCAGUGGCGAAGGCGCUCUGCUGGGCCAUAACUGACGCUGAGGGACGAAAGCUAGGGGAGCG
rnacentral:rRNA from 1 species